CAGUUAGCCUAGUGGUUAAGGCUACGGAUCGCCAAUCCGGAGACGGCAGGUUCGAUUCCCGUUAUUG
rnacentral:tRNA from 1 species